rnacentral:rRNA from 1 species
AGAGACAGCAGCCGCCACGGGAAUACGUAGGGUGCGAGCGUUAAUCGGAAUUACUGGGCGUAAAGGGCGCGUAGGUGGUUAUUUAAGUGAGAUGUGAAAGCCCCGGGCUUAACCUGGGAACUGCAUCUUAUACUGGGUAACUGGAGUGCAGUAGAGGGUAGUGGAAUUUCCGGUGUAGCGGUGAAAUGCGUAGAUAUCGGAAGGAACACCAGUGGCGAAGGCGGCUACCUGGACUGAGACUGACACUGAGGCGCGAGAGCGUGGGGAGCAAACAGGAUUAGAUACCCCCGUAGUCCCUGUCUCUUAUAC